UACGGGGGGGGCAAGCGUUGUUCGGAAUUACUGGGCGUAAAGGGUGCGUAGGCGGUCCGCUAAGUUGGAUGUGAAAACUCUGGGCUUAACCCAGAGCCUGCAUUCAAAACUGACGGGCUAGAGUUCUGGAGGGGGUAGCGGAAUUCCUGGUGUAGCGGUGAAAUGCGUAGAUAUCUGGAGGAACACCGGUGGCGAAGGCGGCAUCCUGGACCGACAUUGACGCUGAUGAGCGAAAGCUGGGGGAGCAAACGGG
rnacentral:rRNA from 1 species